rnacentral:rRNA from 1 species
AUUGAACGCUGGCGGCAGGCCUAACACAUGCAAGUCGAGCGGAUGAAGGGAGCUUGCUCCUGGAUUCAGCGGCGGACGGGUGAGUAAUGCCUAGGAAUCUGCCUGGUAGUGGGGGAUAACGUCCGGAAACGGGCGCUAAUACCGCAUACGUCCUGAGGGAGAAAGUGGGGGAUCUUCGGACCUCACGCUAUCAGAUGAGCCUAGGUCGGAUUAGCUAGUUGGUGGGGUAAAGGCCUACCAAGGCGACGAUCCGUAACUGGUCUGAGAGGAUGAUCAGUCACACUGGAACUGAGACACGGUCCAGACUCCUACGGGAGGCAGCAGUGGGGAAUAUUGGACAAUGGGCGAAAGCCUGAUCCAGCCAUGCCGCGUGUGUGAAGAAGGUCUUCGGAUUGUAAAGCACUUUAAGUUGGGAGGAAGGGCAGUAAGUUACCUUGCUGUUUUGACGUUACCAACAGAAUAAGCACCGGCUAACUUCGUG